rnacentral:ncRNA from 1 species
GCUAUUUAGGUAGCGCCUCGUGAAUUCAUCUCCGGGGGUAGAGCACUGUUUCGGCAAGGGGGUCAUCCCGACUUACCAACCCGAUGCAAACUGCGAAUACCGGAGAAUGUUAUCACGGGAGACACACGGCGGGUGCUAACGUCCGUCGUGAAGAGGGAAACAACCCAGACCGCCAGCUAAGGUCCCAAAGUCAUGGUUAAGUGGGAAACGAUGUGGGAAGGCCCAGACAGCCAGGAUGUUGGCUUAGAAGCAGCCAUCAUUUAAAGAAAGCGUAAUAGCUCACUGGUCGAGUCGGCCUGCGCGGAAGAUGUAACGGGGCUAAACCAUGCACCGAAGCUGCGGCAGCGACGCUUAUGCGUUGUUGGGUAGGGGAGCGUUCUGUAAGCCUGUGAAGGUGUGCUGUGAGGCAUGCUGGAGGUAUCAGAAGUGCGAAUGCUGACAUAAGUAACGAUAAAGCGGGUGAAAAGCCCGCUCGCCGGAAGACCAAGGGUUCCUGUCCAACGUUAAUCGGGGCAGGGUGAGUCGACCCCUAAGGCGAGGCCGAAAGGCGUAGUCGAUGGGAAACAGGU